rnacentral:rRNA from 1 species
AGCAGCCGCGGUAAUUCCAGCUCCAAUAGCGUAUAUUAAAGUUGUUGCAGUUAAAAAGCUCGUAGUUGAAUUUCGGGGUUAGUAGGUUGGUCAUGCCUCUGGUAUGUACUGGUCUCACUGAUUCCUCCUUCCUGAUGAACCUUAAUGCCAUUAAUUUGGUGUUUUGGGGAAUUUGGACUGUUACUUUGAAGAAAUUAGAGUGUUUAAAGCAAGCUAACGCUUGAAUACAUUAGCAUGGAAUAAUGAAAUAGGACGUUCGAUCCUAUUUUGUUGGUUUCUAGGAUUGACGUAAUGAUUAAUAGGGAUAGUUGGGGGCAUUAGUAUUCAAUUGUCAGAGGUGAAAUUCUUGGAUUUAUUGAAGACUAACUACUGCGAAAGCAUUUGCCAAGGAUGUUUUCAUUAAUCAAGAACGAAAGUUAGGGGAUCGAAGACGAUCAGAUACCGUCGUAGUCUUAACCAUAAACCUAUGCCGACUAGGGAUCGGAUGAUGUUAAUUUUUAAUGUACUCAUUCGG